AUAUAACCUUGCCCCUUUUCAUCCUUCAUCUUGUAUGAAUACCCAUUUAUUCUGUAUAUGAGACUGCCUUCCUUUCUUUACCUGUGGUAUCCAUUUGCUUCAUUGAACCUGAUUAAUACUGUGGUGGAAGGGCUAGACCUAUAUGACACAUGGACAGCUGGUAGUAAUUACUGGUUUCUUUCUCUGUUUUAAAUCUUAGGAUUUUCCUGUAUCCCAGAAACAAAGUGACACAGUUUUCCAUUUCCCCCCACUUAUUCCAGGUGUAAGACAUUGUGAUUUUAUUGCAACGUAUCUAUUGGAUAAAUGUCAGAGCUGGGAUUUGAAUCGUGGUGCUGUGGCUCUGACCUAUAAUGGUGUUUGUCUUUUACAAACUGUUUCCUCAGAGAUCUUCUUGCCAUUCUGUCACGUCUAUACAAAUGACUCAUUUAUCUGUAUACCUUUCAUCUUAACUUUCUUUUGAACAUCAGAUCUCUAUUCCAACUGUUCUUUUUGCUUUCCCCUAGCUUUCCUGACCCGGCCAUUAAUAAACUUGUCAUCUUUCCUCAGAAACAUUUUCUCCACUAGUUCUUCCCAUUUCUUUAAUGACAUCUUCAUUUCUAAGAUCAGAGUCUUAGAAUCUUUUCAUUUCCUUGACAUUACCAUGGUAAUUCUGCAGCAUUUUCCCCAACUUCUUUCUAGUCUUGUAACCAUGAUUGUAGUUCAGGUCUAAAAGUUCUCAUAAAAGUUUUCUUUUUACUUCAUGCUUCACCCUGCUGCAAGACUAACCUUCCUGAAGCGUAGCUCCAGUCCCAUGACUUUCUUU
rnacentral:lncRNA from 1 species